rnacentral:rRNA from 1 species
CCGCUGACGAGUGGCGCACGGGUGCGCAACGCGUAUAGAACCUACCCUGUACAGGGGGAUAGCCCGGAGAAAUUCGGAUUAAUACCCCGUAGUAAUUAGAAUUGGCAUCGAUUUUAAUUUAAAGUAUUUACGGUACGGGAUGGCUAUGCGUCCUAUUAGCCAGAUGGUGAGGUAACGGCUCACCAAGGCUGUGAUGGGUAGCUGGUCUGAGAGGAUGGCCAGCCACACUGGGACUGAGACACGGCCCAGACUCCUACGGGAGGCAGCAGUGGGGAAUAUUGCGCAAUGGGGGAAACCCUGACGCAGCGACGCCGCGUGGGUGAUGAAGGCCUUCGGGUCGUAAAGCCCUGUCGUAGGGGAAGAAAUGGAGCGUGGCUAAUACCCUCGUUCCUUGACGGUACCCUACAAGAAAGCACCGGCUAACUCCGUGCCAGCAGCCGCGGUAAUACGGAGGGUGCAAG